AACGAACGCUGGCGGCAGGCCUAACACAUGCAGGUCGAACGUGAAGCCACCUUCGGGUGGUGGAAAGUGGCAGACGGGUGAGUAACGCGUGGGAACGUGCCUUUCGGUUCGGGAUAACCCAGGGAAACUUGGGCUAAUACCGGAUACGCCCUCCGGGGGAAAGAUUCAUUGCCGAAAGAUCGGCCCGCGUCGGAUUAGCUAGUUGGUGGGGUAAAAGCCUACCAAGGCGACGAUCCGUAGCUGGUCUGAGAGGAUGACCAGCCACACUGGGACUGAGACACGGCCCAGCCUCCUACGGGAGGCAGCAGUGGGGAAUAUUGGACAAUGGGCGAAAGCCUGAUCAAGCAAUGCCGCGUGAGUGAUGAAGGCCUUAGGGUUGUAAAGCGCUUUUACCCGGGAUGAUAAUGACAGUACCGGGAGAAUAAGCUCCGGCUAACUCCGUGCCAGCAGCCGCCGUAA
rnacentral:rRNA from 1 species